GGUUUAACGUUUAACCUCUGAGCUUCAGCUCUUUAUAUUCCUCAUCUCUGCAACUACUUCCUCUCAAAUCCCCCAGAUAAACUACAGACAAAACUAGUCUCAGAUUAACAUGACCGCAGAAAAGCUUCCAACACUCAUAUAUUACUGUCACUGCGAGUGGAAUUUUACCAGACUAAACUAGUGGAUGUUUUCUUCACGCCAGUAGAGGGCUCUGUCCGUUCAACAUGAGCACAUCUGCUAUGAGGAAGUAGCUGUGAGGAGGAGGAGAAGAUCAGUGUGGAGCCUUCAUCAGGGUUGCCAAGUCCACUUAUUAUAAGCAACUUUGGGCUUGUUUUUUUUAAGAACUUUUUUUGAUUCUGCAUUUUUGCCUUUGAUGCAACUGUAAGAAAGUUCUUAAAUGCUAAUAUUCAUAACCACCAAUGCACACAUAUUAUAUUGGUAAAUAAUAUCUUAUUCGGAUAUCAAGUAGCUGGAGUGUACGUGUGUCUCAUGAUAAAAUCACCAUUUUAAUUCAGUGCAUUUAUGAUCAUUUGGGUCUGAAUAACAUGGGAAGUAGGAGGACUUUUCUGAAACAAUUAAAGCGAUCAAUGCUUUUGGCAGAACACAAUAGGAAACUGGAACAACAUCCCUUUCGCAUGCUUAUUUUGGGUCUGUUUUUUCAGUCCAGUUUGCUUAUUUCUGUAGCGAUACUUGGCAACACCGGUUUAAAGUCAAACUAGGAAGGAAUGUGGAGAAAUGAAAAUGUUCAUUCAUUAACCAUUGUGUGUUUUCAGGAAGCAGCAGUAUCAGGAAGUCUAAUGUGUUUUUCUGUCAUAUAUAGAUGAUAUUUAAGACACUAAUGAGCCUCUGGAGAAUGAUUAAACAUGAAAAAGACUGUCCUCAGAGGAGAGAACACACAGGAGAUCUCCUCUGACUUGUGAGGGAUUCAAAGUACAUCUGCUGAUUAUUUGCAUGAGCUGUCUGCAUUGUUUUUAGCACCCAAUUCACUAAAGAAAUUAUGCAAAUCAGUACUCCCCUUUGGAAGCAACAGAAGAUACUUGCAUGUUUCCCAGAAGACAAAUUAAGUACAAUAUUCCUUGAUCUUCAAAUUCCAAAAGUUUUCACCCCCCGUCUCUUAACGCAUCGUGUUUCCUUCUGGAGCAUCAGUGAAUGUUUGAACCUUUUUUAAUAGUUGUGUUUGAGUCCCUCAGUUGUCCUCAGUGUGAAAAGAUGGAUCUCAAAAUCAUUCAGUCACAGCUGGAAAGGGUUCAAAUACGCAUAAGAUGAUUGAAAACCGAAGAAUCUGCAGGAGCUGGAGGAUUUUUCUGAAGAACAGAGCUCAGUUUAACUGCUCAGAAUAAACAAGAGACUCAUGAACAACAUCACAAAACUAAAAAACAGUCGUAGAUCAUCAGGUAACCACACACAGUAUUAAGAAUCAAGGGUUCACAUACUUAAGAAUGGGGUUAUUUUAAUAAAUUCAGCUAUUUUUUUGUCUUGUGAACUUUAAUGUAAAAUAUCUUAUUCAGGACAGUACUAAAUUAAAAAAAAAAACAUGCA